rnacentral:rRNA from 1 species
UAAGCAUAUCAACAAUAAGCGGAGGAAAAGAAACCAACAGGGAUUGCCCCAGUAACGGCGAGUGAAGCGGCAACAGCUCAAAUUUGAAAUCUGGCCCCUCCGGGUCCGAGUUGUAAUUUGUAGAGGAUGCUUUUGGUGAGGUGCCGCCCGAGUUCCCUGGAACGGGACGCCACAGAGGGUGAGAGCCCCGUCUGGCUGGCCACCGAGCCUCUGUAAAGCUCCUUCGACGAGUCGAGUAGUUUGGGAAUGCUGCUCAAAAUGGGAGGUAUAUGUCUUCUAAAGCUAAAUAUUGGCCAGAGACCGAUAGCGCACAAGUAGAGUGAUCGAAAGAUGAAAAGCACCUUGAAAAGAGGGUUAAACAGUACGUGAAAUUGUUGAAACAGUGGGAAGCGCUUGUGACCAGACUUGGGCGCGGCGGAUCAUCCGGGGUUCUCUCCGGUGCACUUCGCCGCGUUCAGGCCAGCAUCAGUUCGUCGCGGGGGAAAAAGGCUUCGGGAACGUGGCUCCUCCGGGAGUGUUAUAGCCCGUUGCAUAAUACCCUGCGGUGGACUGAGGACCGCGCAUCUGCAAGGAUGCUGGCGUAAUGG